rnacentral:rRNA from 1 species
UGGGGAAUAUUGCGCAAUGGGGGAAACCCUGACGCAGCAACGCCGCGUGAAGGAUGAAGGUUUUCGGAUCGUAAACUUCUGUCCUAUGGGAAGAACAAAAUGACGGUACCAUAGGAGGAAGCCACGGCUAACUACGUGCCAGCAGCCGCGGUAAUACGUAGGUGGCAAGCGUUGUCCGGAUUUACUGGGUGUAAAGGGCGUGUAGACGGGAAAGUAAGUCAGAUGUGAAAUACCGAGGCUCAACCUCGGGGCUGCAUUUGAAACUACUUUUCUUGAGUGAUGGAGAGGUAAGCGGAAUUCCUAGUGUAGCGGUGAAAUGCGUAGAUAUUAGGAGGAACACCAGUGGCGAAGGCGGCUUACUGGACAUUAACUGACGUUGAGGCGCGAAAGUGUGGGGAGCAAACA